AUCUACGUAGGACAUAAUAUUAGCGAGACAGUUUACUGCAUAGGUAAGGUCGUCAGAAACAUGUCGGCCGGUGACAUCCUUUCCUGUAUUGUGAAGGUUAUAAAGAUAUCUAAACAGAUACACGAUGCUGUUAGAGACGUACAGAGUUUCAAAGAAAAGAGCAAAACCCUUGCCAGGAAUAUUGAACUCCUAGUUGAGCCUUUGGAAGUGCUGGAAAAGCGAUGCACCAAAGAGGAGCUGGAAAAGUAUCGGCACACUCCCGCAAAGGGAAGUGGGAGUGGCGACGCUGCUGCCGAUGUGGAUGACAAAGGAGAACAUAUCUGGAUAUCAUAUGUUCUUGAGUUACAAUCUUGUAUGGAGUGUGCCCAGGCCUUUCUCAAGGAACUUUCAGACAAACAUGUUGUUCUGAAAUUGUUUGUGAAAAGGAAAUUGCUGAUAGAUUUGACGGCUUCUACAACAGGUUAGGGAGCUUGAGACAGGGCCUAAUGUUAUCACUUCAGACGGAAUUCAGCUCGUUCAUCUCUGUCGAUAUGGUGAAAGGAUGGGAGGCGCUUUCAGUGAUCUAGACUCAAUACAAAAGGAUAUGAAAGAUCUGAAAGAAGAAAUAAAAAAGCAAGGAGAAAAUAUAGCACAGCUCUUGGAUAGAGACCCAAAGCACCUGCAGAGAUUGAGAAUCAAAUUAACUAUGCAGGCUUCAGUGAAGUCAUAAAGCUUCAUGAUGGAAAAUACGGCCCAAUCUACAAAGCUAAACACAGCUGCGCGAAAAAGAUGUUGGUUUUCAAAACUUUUGAAGACAAUGGUCUUUCUGCACGGAAGGAGCUGAAAGAGCAGUGUGGACUGUGGAUGAAGCUCAAUUUUCUCCUUUCAUCGUCCAUCUCUAUGGUUUACACGAUUGCUGAGGAUGGU